UUGGAAAGCCCAGCCACAGCGUUCUGCAGCUUAAAAACCUUCGCCCCGAAGACAGUAGACCGGCAACAAGGCAACCCUUUGAAGACAAAGGUCGGCGACUAUGGCGUGUGGGAUGGGAAAUUGGGAAGCUGUUAUUCCUCAAAACGUCGCAAAUCGUCGGGAUCAUUGCAGCGAGAUGCUGCCUGCACCAUUGUUCUACCAUUUAGAUUCAGAUCAAAAAGCUCCCCUACAUGAAAGAGAAAUGAGGAACUUCUCAAAAGCAAUGCUUUCAGAUUGAUUCCUUGAUCGCAGCUUUCGAUAUCUGUUUCGGUAUGACUGUUGGGAUCGAUAUCUUCAAUUAUACUCGUGUUGAUCUCGAUAUCUGUUUCGGUAUGACUGUUGGGAUCAAUAGCUUCGACUAUACUCGUGUUGAUCUCAAGUUUGGGGCUCAACAGCGAGUGAGAGCUUGGGCUCUCCUUGCAGCAUUCUACAAGAUGUAGAAUGAAACUAAGCAUAAAUCAUAAACAUUUAGACAAUGGCAAAGUUAUUCAAUCUCACUUAGACUCUCUCUUGGAUGAAGAUAUAUGAGAUGCAUACAAGUAUGAGAAUAGAGGAUGAAUGCAUUUUGCUUUCCCCUUUGGGGUUCUAUAUUGAUGAACUUCUUUAAGAUGAAUGAUUAAUAACAGUAGAUAUUGCAACAAA